GAUGAAGAACGCAGCGAAAUGCGAUAAGUAAUGUGAAUUGCAGAAUUCAGUGAAUCAUCGAAUCUUUGAACGCACAUUGCGCCCGCCAGUAUUCUGGCGGGCAUGCCUGUUCGAGCGUCAUUUCAACCAUCAAGCCCCCGGCUUGUGUUGGGGACCUGCGGCUGCCGCAGGCCCUGAAAACCAGUGGCGGGCUCGCUGUCACACCGAGCGUAGUAGAUUUUCAUCUCGCUCAGGGCGUGCUGCGGGUUCCGGCCGUAAAAAGCCUUAUUUACCCAAGGUUGACCUCGGAUCAGGUAGGAAGACUCGCUGAACUUAAGCAUAUCAAUAAGCGGAGGA
rnacentral:misc_RNA from 1 species